rnacentral:rRNA from 1 species
UACGGAGGGGGCUAGCGUUGUUCGGAAUUACUGGGCGUAAAGCGCGCGUAGGCGGACCUGCAAGUCGGGGGUGAAAGCCCGAGGCUCAACCUCGGAACUGCCUUCGAUACUGCGGGUCUCGAGUCCGGGAGAGGUGAGUGGAAUUCCUAGUGUAGAGGUGAAAUUCGUAGAUAUUAGGAAGAACACCAGUGGCGAAGGCGGCUCACUGGCCCGGUACUGACGCUGAGGCGCGAAAGCGGUGGGGAGCAAACAGG